UACGUAGGCAGCAAGCGUUGUUCGGAAUUACUGGGCGUAAAGAGUGUGUAGGCGGUGUUCUAAGUUUGUCGUGAAAUCUCCCGGCUUAACUGGGAGGGUGCGGCGAAAACUGGAAUGCUAGAGGAUGGGAGAGGUAAGCGGAAUUCCUGGUGUAGCGGUGAAAUGCGUAGAUAUCUGGAGGAACACCGGUGGCGAAGGCGGCAUCCUGGACCGGCAUUGACGCUGAUGAGCGAAAGCCAGGGGAGCAAACGGG
rnacentral:rRNA from 1 species